rnacentral:rRNA from 1 species
AUUGAACGCUGGCGGCAGGCCUAACACAUGCAAGUCGAGCGAGCGGCGGACGGGUGAGUAAUGUAUGGGGACUGCCCGAUAGAGGGGGAUAACUACUGGAAACGGUGGCUAAUACCGCAUACUAUCGGAUAACCCAGAUGGGAUUAGCUGGUAGGUGGGGUAAAGGCACACCUAGGCGACGAUCUCUAGCUGGUCUGAGAGGAUGAUCAGACACACUGGGACUGAGACACGGCCCAGACUCGAAGGGAGUCAGCAGUGGGUAAUAUUGCACAAUGGGCGCAAGCCUGAUGCAGCCAGGCCGCGUGCAUGAAGAAGGCCUUAGGGUUGUAAAGUACUUUCAGAGGGGAGGCGUUGCCCGCAGAAGAAGCACCGGAUAACUCCGUGCCAGCCGCCGCGGUAAUUC